CUCAGUUUGACUUUGGAAGCUCACAGAGACAGGAGCGUCCUUGACUUUGUGAUAUCAAACGACACAGACCCACUGAGCCGUUCCCGCCUUGACCUUCUCCUGGCUGUCUUGUGGAGGUACCUUACUUACAUAUAGGAAACAGAAGGUGAUUGUGUUCCCCGCAGACUAUUGUGAAGUAGAAGCCAUGUUCCUUUCCCUCUGCUCUGUUGGACUGGAUGGCUCAUUGGCUCACUGGUAAAAUUCUAGUCUUUAUCCUAGAUCUUUAUAUCUAGAGACUAGAACACCUGUAACUUUGUCC